rnacentral:rRNA from 1 species
UACGUAGGUGGCAAGCGUUGUCCGGAAUUAUUGGGCGUAAAGCGCGCGCAGGCGGUCCUUUAAGUCCGUUGUGAAAGUCAAAGGCUCAACCUUUGAAAGCCGAUGGAUACUGCAGGGCUAGAGUCCGGAAGAGGCGAGUGGAAUUCCUGGUGUAGCGGUGGAAUGCGCAGAUAUCAGGAGGAACACCAAUAGCGAAGGCAGCUCGCUGGGACGGUACUGACGCUAAGGCGCGAAAGCGUGGGGAGCGAACAGG